rnacentral:rRNA from 1 species
GGAGUUUGGUCCGUGUCUCAGUACCAAUGUGGGGGACCUUCCUCUCAGAACCCCUACUGAUCGUAGCCUUGGUGGGCCGUUACCCCGCCAACUGGCUAAUCAGACGCGGGUCCAUCUCACACCACCGGAGUUUUUCACACCAUACCAUGCGGUAUUGUGCGCUUAUGCGGUAUUAUCAGUCGUUUCCAACUGCUAUCCCCCAGUGUGAGGCAGGUUACCCACGCGUUACUCACCCGUCCGCCACUAAGUAUUUCAAAUGAUUCUUUGGAAGCAAGCUUCCUCGGUCUCGGGAGAAAUACUCCGUUCGACUUGCAUGUGUUAAGCACGCCGCCAGCGUUUAUC